rnacentral:lncRNA from 1 species
AGGAGUGAGAAUGGGUGUUUCUGCGUCUUUUCUCUGCCAAGAGAUAACCCUAAAGUUUGUACAAAUUUGUUUAUAAUCUAUGAAAAAUUACAGAAAACAGGCCCAAGCCCAACUACAAUGCUCAAUGCUGGUUUCACCACUCAGCAGUAGGUGCGGCACUCAAGUGGAUUUGACGCUCAACGGUGUGCGCGACUCUAACUUUUCCCCUCAACGUUGGCGCUUAAGCAUCUGACAAUGGCUCUCUUCACAAAGUUGGCGCUCAGCGUUGAAACUGGCGUUGAGCGGUGGCUGCGAUUCUUCCUUUGCACCUUUUUUCAUCCUUUCUUGAGUCCAACUCCUUCCUACUUCACUCUCCAUCAUUCAAUUCUCGUCUAAUCCUGUCAAAACAAGGAAAACCAAGCAUAAUAUCUCUAAAACCACCUUUGACUCUCUUUUAACCAAACUAAAGUAAUUUGCAUGAUUUCAAGCUAAUUUCUAAGUCAUAAAGGGUCUGUUCGUAUCAAAAUUAAGUAUUAAAAUAACGAUUUUUGAAUCGUUAUCACUAAUCUCCCUCCUAAUGUUGAUUACUUUUGCUGCUGGGAAGAACUUGUUGAGAAAUCUUUGUUGUGUUUCCUACCAGCUAUCAAAAGGAUGAUACGACUCGUAUAGGAACCAGUCUCUUGCUGCACCUUGAAGGGACACUGGAAACACUCUCAUCCGCACUUCCUCCUCUGAAAUACCACCAGACCUCAUGGAUGAGCACACCCACC